GACGAACGCUGGCGGCGUGCUUAACACAUGCAAGUCGAACGGAAAGGCCCUGCUUUUGUGGGGUGCUCGAGUGGCGAACGGGUGAGUAACACGUGAGUAACCUGCCCUUGACUUUGGGAUAACUUCAGGAAACUGGGGCUAAUACCGGAUAGGAGCUCCUGCUGCAUGGUGGGGGUUGGAAAGUUUCGGCGGUUGGGGAUGGACUCGCGGCUUAUCAGCUUGUUGGUGGGGUAGCGGCUUACCAAGGCUUUGACGGGUAGCCGGCAUGAGAGGGUGAACGGCCACAUUGGGACUGAGAUACGGAGCAGACUGCUACGGGAGGCAGCAGUGGGGAAUAUUGCGCAGUGGGCGGAAGCCAGAGGCAGCAACGUCGCGUGCGGGAUGACGGGCUUCUGGUUGUAAACCGCUUUCGCAUGAAACGAAGCGUGAGUGACGGUAAUGGGUAAAGAAGCAACGGCUAACUACGUG
rnacentral:rRNA from 1 species